GGUCAAUGAUGAAUAGUAAAAGGUCUGACUUCCAAGGUCACCUACCAGCAUUCUACAUCCCCAGCUGCUUGCCUCGUUCCCAUCAUGCUCUAGUAGUGCUAUCAUGGGCAAAAACAAUAGCUGACAUGCAGUGAUGUCUCCAUUCUGUGUUCCCUGACAAGCCCAGGGAAGACGCUGGUUGGCAUCCAACAGCUUAGUCUCAAAGGGAUUUGAUUGUUGGGAGUGCUGGUAUCCUUGGCUGUGAUCUGAUGCUUUAAGCUGAGACC
rnacentral:snoRNA from 1 species